GGUGGAUGAUCCAACUACCAUAUCUAUAAUAACUAAAUAAUAAAAUUAAAUUAAUUAAAGCAUACAUAUAAGAAUUUUUACAGUUCUAGUGAAAAAUUUUGGUAUAGAUUUUUUACCAGUCUGUCAGCUAUAAUAUGUGUACCGACGGAGCCGUCAAUAUGCCUGAUCGGAUCCUGUUGGGCGGCCUGAUUCUUUCAGGCCCUCUGUCACCUACUGGAGUACUCUUCCUCACUGCUCCAC
rnacentral:lncRNA from 1 species